UCGGUCAGUUAGUUGAAGUGUAUUAUUAGUUAGAUCGUGCUUUUGUUGGGAAGUGCGCCGUGUCUUUGAAACGGUGAGCAGCAAGCCUCAGUGUUUAGCCGUUGCCGGUACGUUAGAACAAUGAUAUACUGGCAAUACAAGUCGAACUGUUAAGUUGAGGUCAACUUUUGCGUAUUGGAACCUGUGUUGUGAUUUUUGUGCACCCACCGAUAUCUAGGGCAAUAAACAUCACACAGGUCAUCUACGUUACGCUUAACAAACCUUAUCUGAAGUCUGCGCGUUCACUGAAGCACCGGUGGAAGCUAAGCACUGGACAAGUAAAUUGAGAAAUACAGACAUAACUUCUGCGUCGUACCAAGCGGAGCCCGGGGUGCCGGCUCCCACAGGUAAAAAACAGGUCCAGAGUAAACGUUCCGCAGACAGGGUAGAGGCCGCAACCGCGAAACGUACCCCUCAAAGAAGCGCUACCAAACCACCUGUCAUCGACCGAGUAAGCAGUGACGAAACUGAGCAGGAUUACGAUGCCGAGUGCUUCUGGGACGGUAAAGGUAAAGCGAUCAAUCGUAAGAAGGCGGCGGCCAAGAAUACGCAGAGAAAUAACAAAGCAAAGAAGGUCGUAGAUGAAGAUAAUGACGGCCAGCCAAAGGACGACAAAGACACGGGCAACGCAAUGGAAGAUGCGAAAAAUGACUUUGAUAACGAGGAGGAGGAAGCAAACGGACAGUUAACGAAGCUGACAAAUCCAAAAGGAGCCGGAAAAGGUCUGUCGUCACUGUGAAGAAGGCCAGCAAGAAAACUGGAAACGUAAAAUCCCAAAUAUCAAAGGAACGCCGGGCAGCCGUGGAUCAGGAGGCGGUUGAGCAUCGUGCGACCCAUUUAAGAACUCUUUUUGAUGACUUACUUGACGAGGAUGUUGUCGACCUUUAGGAAGCACUCUAUGAGGCAGACUGGGAUCUUUCUUCAGCGAAGAAGCUUAUCGCUAGUGGUGCGCUAGUGGCUAAUGCGUCUGGUGAUGAGAAAGAGGACGAAGAAUAAGCUUAAAGACCAGUAUGUGUUCGAGAUGUUGUAAUAUUCCACAACUGGCAAAGAAGGUACUAUAUGAGAUCACGUUUAGCGUAUGUGAUGCACAGCACGCUACUGGAUAUGUCCGUCAUCGGCAACCUGUUCUCAGUUUAUAUCCAAAUCUGAAUAGCGCCACCUUUGGCUAAGUGUCAUUGAACGUGAAUUUGAAUGAGCGGACGAAUUGAACGGAGUACCGUUGACAGAGAGGGCGCCUCCGGGGGCAUCGCUUUACGGCUGGAGCCGCUUAUUUUUCUUGCGCACAUUGACAUCGGAAUCGAACCAAUAUCUUCUGCAGGCUGCUGGAUGUAGUGAAGGAAUAUUCUUCCAUCCUGACGAUUUAGCUUUAUCGGUAUCGGAAUGUCUUUGCACCGACUGUUCGCAGACGUUCGUUUAUCUAGACUAGCAUCGACUGAGAAGAACGCUAAGUUUAACGAAGCUGAGUCACGAACACGGACGAGCACACCGACCAAAAAAAUGACCCUUCAUUCUGCCUUUAACGAAGUUGAAAAAUGAAGCGUCGCGGCACCAUUGAAUAACAGCCACGGGCAUGUCGUACACACGGUAAUGCGUCUUGCAGCUGCGCUAUCGUGAAACGUUUAAGCUAAUUACCAUACAGUUGUCGACGUACACGGCAGAGGUAUCCUAGGCUGCUCCGGAAGCUUAUGGUCUCGGUAAAAGAAACAGAGUGGGUGUCCACUUGUUUACCGCCAACUUUGAAGCGCAAAUUCGACAAAAAAUCCCGUUAAGAACAGCAGCCGGCUUGCCAAGAGGAAAACACUUUCCGAACAGUGUAUACGACUAAAUCAAGAGUGGAGAGG
rnacentral:lncRNA from 1 species